rnacentral:rRNA from 1 species
GUACGAAGGGGAGCUAGCGUUGUUCGGAAUUACUGGGCGUAAAGCGCGCGCAGGCGGUUCUUCAAGUCAGUGGUGAAAGCCCGGAGCUCAACUCCGGAACUGCCAUUGAAACUGUAGAACUUGAGGAUGAGAGAGGUGAGUGGAAUUCCCAGUGUAGAGGUGAAAUUCGUAGAUAUUCGCAAGAACACCAGUGGCGAAGGCGGCUCACUGGCUCGGUACUGACGCUGAGGUGCGAAAGCGUGGGGAGCAAACAGGG